GAUGAACGCUGGCGGCGUGCUUAACACAUGCAAGUCGAGCGAAGCACUUGUUUGGAACCCUCCGGGAGGAAAAACAUUUGACUGAGCGGCGGACGGGUGAGUAACGCGUGGGGAACCUGCCUUAUACCGGGGGAUAACAGCUGGAAACGGCUGCUAAUACCGCAUAAGCGCACGGCACCGCAUGGUGCAGUGUGAAAAGCUCCGGUGGUAUAAGAUGGACCCGCGUUAGAUUAGCUGGUUGGCGGGGUAACGGCCCACCAAGGCGACGACCUAUAGCCGGCCUGAGAGGGCGACCGGCCACAUUGGGACUGAGACACGGCCCAAACUCCUACGGGAGGCAGCAGUGGGGAAUAUUGCACAAUGGGCGAAAGCCUGAUGCAGCGACGCCGCGUGAGCGAAGAAGUAUUUCGGUAUGUAAAGCUCUAUCAGCAGGGAAGAAAAUGACGGUACCUGACUAAGAAGCCCCGGCUAACUACGUGCCAGCCGCCGCGGUAACAC
rnacentral:rRNA from 1 species